GCCAAAUCUGUAAAAUCAAAAUGAGGUUGAAGACAAUUAGUGAAAGUAAUGUCACAGUAUCAUCAUAUUCCCUUUUGCUAUCUGUCCCUUUUCUCUAUGCCAGAUAAACACUUCUCCUUACUCAUCAAUCAAGAAUAAAAUUUUCUAUAUCAAAGACUUGAGAAAAUAAACUUAUAUGUAUAUGUUUAAACUCCAAAGUUUGGAACAUUGAAACAUUAUACAUAAAAUUAUGUGUGUGGUGUGUGAAUACAUAUGUAUGAAUAUAUGGUCUGUGUUUUCUUUUACUACUAUCAAAUAAGAGUUAACUGUACACUUUCAACCUAAGGGGUUGAAAGUAUUUGAAUAUGGCAUCCGUUUAAAUGUACAGAAAUCCUGUAAAUUAUCCAACAGCUCCAUGUAUUCAUGUGUUUUUCUCCUUACUGCCUGUGAUAAAAAGGAGGGGCCAGUCAAAACAAUCUUCCCUAACAAUAAUAAAUUCACGGUAAAUCUAUGACUCACAGUACUCAACUGGGGUAUCCACACAUUAUAGGUAGUUUGAACCUAGACCAUUCUUCUGUGCAUGCUUAUUAAAAUAUGCCAAGGAUGUGAACAUGGUUUUAAAGAGUUGUACAAGAGAAAAUUGAACUUUUGGAAAUUCAAAUUGAAGUUUUCUUAGGCUAUAGCUAAAGUAGUAUGGGUUUUAUUAUUAUCUCUAUAGGAGCAGGGGCAAUGGGGGAAUAAUACUUUGCAUAUAGCUAUUAAGGCCAACAGGUUCAUAAAAUGUAUUCAAUACAACAGUUAAGUAUACUGACAGCCUGAAGAUUUUCAGAGAUCAUUUUGAGAGAAACUUUUUUUCUAGCUCAGAAAAUAAACCUUACAUUUUAAGCAGAAAAUGGUACCUUAAAGAAGAUUCGUCCUCUUAUUAGUCCAUACGGAAUAGGUCCAUAGUACCUGGAGUCUGUAGAAUUCUGUAGAUUAUCACCUUCUAACCAAACAUGACCCAUUGGCACCUAGAAUUAGAGAAGAAAUGCAGCCCUUUAAAAAAAUAAAACCUAAUUUGGGUACUAUAAUUUAAAAGCAUGUAUUCAGAGGUAGGGAGACAUGUCCUAAGGUUCUCUUUUAUAGAAUAGAUACAAAUCCUAAGAUUGCAUGUUUGCUUUUAUUCCUUUCACAAUAAAAUAACUUUUACUAAACAUCAAAGCUUUCAACUUUUUAAAAGACCUAUCUUUUUUUGUCAUAUGGUUCCCAAAUAUUAAUUUGUUAUACAAACCCCAAAGUGAGGUUAUAAGAGAUCAAAACAGUGUGACAGGGUCAUUAAUUUAAUAGACUUCAAAAGAGGUCAUUAGGAUGCUGACUGAAAAUGUGCCCUUAUGUCUCAAUAACAGCAUAAGCAGGGCACCACUCACUCAGCAACAUCCUGGGGCCAAUACCAAGGCCAGACCUAUUAGAAUGCUCAUGAUAAACUAAAUGGCCAUAUCUUCAAUGCAUUAUACUUCAAUAAUGACCAUGAAGAACCAGAAGGACCUAUUAUAAAAUCAUCAGUUGUAAAAUUAAUGAUGGUGACCUUCUCCUAAAUGAAAAGACUAUAUCCUAUAAUGUUCUGUGUAUAAACUGGUAAGUAACAAGAUUUUUACUGAGUGACAAUCAUAAGCAUAUUUAGAACAGAACACACUGCUUCUUUUUUAAAAGCUGCCUGUAAUAUGAGACAUUUGCUUAUUACUAUCUGUUCAAUAUAAACUAAAAUACUUAAUUUUCCAGCAACAAUCUGUAAAAUUGCUUUUUAAAAGUUUUUGUUUUACAGUUUUAUUAUCUAAGACAGUUGAGUUACUGACCAGAUCAAAAUGAUCUCUGUAUGGGGAAGGAAUUUAUUUUCACUAUUCUUUUGAGCAGUUUUAUUUAUAAACCUUAUAUGAAGAAAAAUAUCACUGCUGGGUUUAACAAGAGAUAACACAACUUUUUUUAAUCUCACAAAUUACCUUCUUGACAAAUAAAUGUAUACAAGAAUGUAAAAUCUGCAUUUCACUUACAUAAGCGAUUUUAAGAUUCUGGAAGGUCUUAUGUACAAAUAUUUGCCAAAAACCUUCAAAUUAACUGUAUUUUGAUACAUUUAAAUGUUAAAUUUAUUUGUAGAAAAAGGACAUAAGUUUACUGAAGGAAUAUCAGAAAGUAUAUGAUCAUUCACUUUAUUAGUGGAACUAGUUUGUCCAAGGGCCAAUAGCAAGGCCACUUCCUCGCUAUCUAAUAAAAUAGACAUAUGUGCAGUGACGCAUAAGACUGCUCUAGUAGAAAAAUGUGUAUAUCACAGUCAUCAAAAAAGGAACAAAAUAGUGAAUUUGUAAAAGUGAAAUGUAAUUAACAUUCUUAAGUGUUACUUUGAUAAAGCUACAAGGUGAACAUGUUUCAUGUUUAAAUUUCCACAGUUUCUCUCUGAAAUGUGCUUUUUCCUGAGUUCUAAAAACAGGUAAUGCAUAUGAAUAAAUAAAACCAUGUAGUUAUGGACACCAAUAAAAGAAAAAUAUUCUACAAACUAAUAAGGCAACAUACUAACAAUCUAGGUAUACCUUUGUCUGACCAUCCCAUUGACGGUAAACCAAGACCUGUGAUCAUCUCUUCAUGAAGCUUUCCCAAAACUAGCCUGCCCAUACCAACUUGAUUCUUUCCAGCACUUAACAUAAAGUCAGCCUUGCUUGGGGCCCUACGUUAUAACCUUUAUUAUUAUUAUUUUUAACCUGCUUGGCUUUUCUGUCAGUUUUUACUAUUUUAUACCAGAAUAAACCAACAGACAGUAAUGCUAUGAUUUUAUUUUUUUGAUUGUUAAUGACUUAUUACAUUAUAGUUUGGUGCAAAAGUAACUGCAGUUUUUGCUGAAAAAUACAUUUAAUGGCAAAAACC